AUGUUGCAAGACAGAAAUAACAAAGGCAAGAAAUUAAACAGAAACAGAGAAGUGCAUAUGGAAUGUAUGUGUUUAUUGAUGAUAAUAAGGAAAUACAGAAGAGAUAAAUCUCUACUACCUACAAGAGUAAUGCUCUACACAGAAACACAAUUCUCUGGCCAAACAGAAACAAUUCUGGCCCGAUACCAUCUCUCUCCACAAGUCCCACUUCAUAUAACUGAACCACACUCAGCCACAAAUUCUCACUUUCUCUCCCUGCCAUCUCAUCCUUCUCUCUUUUCUUAUUUCUCCUCACAUAAACUGCCCAUACUCUAG